AGUCGCCGUCGGCAGGUUGGUCGGCCGGCUGCAGACCGGCGGUGUCGCGCGUAGGUUCCAGCCCGGCGCUGACUGC
rnacentral:tRNA from 1 species